rnacentral:lncRNA from 1 species
CUGUAAAAUGUGAACAAUGAUGACAUCUACUCUUUAGAGUUAAAAGAAGAAAUAUGCUUAAGGAAUUUAGGAUAGCACCUGGAGCAUUAGGGCAAGAGAGUGUGCAAGCAGAGGGAGGAGCAGAGGGAGAAGGCAAGCAGACUUGGCACUCAGCAUGGAGCCUGAUGUAGGACUCGAUCCCCUGCCCCUGAGAUCAUGACCUGAGCGGAAGGCAAGAGUUGGAUGCUUUACCGACUGAGCCACCCAGGCGCCCUGGGUGUGUGCUAUUAAUCUAACACUAUUGUUGUUGACCUGAUCACAAGGAUGAGGUAAUGCUUGCCAG